GAAGAAGCAGGUUUAGGUUCUGCUGGUGGCUUGAAAUCAUUAUGUGGGGGUUCAAUUCCCUCCUUCCUUG
rnacentral:tRNA from 1 species